rnacentral:rRNA from 1 species
GAUGAACGCUGGCGGCGUGCCUAAUACAUGCAAGUCGAGCGAACGGACGAGAAGCUUGCUUCUCUGAUGUUAGCGGCGGACGGGUGAGUAACACGUGGAUAACCUACCUAUAAGACUGGGAUAACUUCGGGAAACCGGAGCUAAUACCGGAUAAUAUUUUGAACCGCAUGGUUCAAAAGUGAAAGACGGUCUUGCUGUCACUUAUAGAUGGAUCCGCGCUGCAUUAGCUAGUUGGUAAGGUAACGGCUUACCAAGGCAACGAUGCAUAGCCGACCUGAGAGGGUGAUCGGCCACACUGGAACUGAGACACGGUCCAGACUCCUACGGGAGGCAGCAGUAGGGAAUCUUCCGCAAUGGGCGAAAGCCUGACGGAGCAACGCCGCGUGAGUGAUGAAGGUCUUCGGAUCGUAAAACUCUGUUAUUAGGGAAGAACAUAUGUGUAAGUAACUGUGCACAUCUUGACGGUACCUAAUCAGAAAGCCACGGCUAACUACGUGCCAGCAGCCGCGGUAAUACGUAGGUGGCAAGCGUUAUCCGGAAUUAUUGGGCGUAAAGCGCGCGUAGGCGGUUUUUUAAGUCUGAUGUGAAAGCCCACGGCUCAACCGUGGAGGGUCAUUGGAAACUGGAAAACUUGAGUGCAGAAGAGGAAAGUGGAAUUCCAUGUGUAGCGGUGAAAUGCGCAGAGAUAUGGAGGAACACCAGUGGCGAAGGCGACUUUCUGGUCUGUAACUGACGCUGAUGUGCGAAAGCGUGGGGAUCAAACAGGAUUAGAUACCCUGGUAGUCCACGCCGUAAACGAUGAGUGCUAAGUGUUAGGGGGUUUCCGCCCCUUAGUGCUGCAGCUAACGCAUUAAGCACUCCGCCUGGGGAGUACGACCGCAAGGUUGAAACUCAAAGGAAUUGACGGGGACCCGCACAAGCGGUGGAGCAUGUGGUUUAAUUCGAAGCAACGCGAAGAACCUUACCAAAUCUUGACAUCCUUUGACAACUCUAGAGAUAGAGCCUUCCCCUUCGGGGGACAAAGUGACAGGUGGUGCAUGGUUGUCGUCAGCUCGUGUCGUGAGAUGUUGGGUUAAGUCCCGCAACGAGCGCAACCCUUAAGCUUAGUUGCCAUCAUUAAGCUGGGCACUCUAAGUUGACUGCCGGUGACAAACCGGAGGAAGGUGGGGAUGACGUCAAAUCAUCAUGCCCCUUAUGAUUUGGGCUACACACGUGCUACAAUGGACAAUACAAAGGGCAGCGAAACCGCGAGGUCAAGCAAAUCCCAUAAAGUUGUUCUCAGUUCGGAUUGUAGUCUGCAACUCGACUACAUGAAGCUGGAAUCGCUAGUAAUCGUAGAUCAGCAUGCUACGGUGAAUACGUUCCCGGGUCU